GACGUAGGAUGCAAGCGUUGUCCGGAAUUAUUGGGCGUAAAGAGUUCGUAGGCGGUGACCUAAGUCUGAUGUUAAAGACGGGAGCUUAACUCCCGCAUGGCAUUGGAAACUGGGCCACUAGAGUCCGGAAGAGGAGAGUGGAAUUCCUGGUGUAGCGGUGAAAUGCGCAGAUAUCAGGAAGAACACCUAUGGCGAAGGCAGCUCUCUGGGACGGUACUGACGCUGAGACGCGAAAGCGUGGGGAGCGAACAGG
rnacentral:rRNA from 1 species